rnacentral:rRNA from 3 species
UUAAGCGACUAAGCGUACACGGUGGAUGCCCUGGCAGUCAGAGGCGAUGAAGGACGUGCUAAUCUGCGAUAAGCGUCGGUAAGGUGAUAUGAACCGUUAUAACCGGCGAUUUCCGAAUGGGGAAACCCAGUGUGUUUCGACACACUAUCAUUAACUGAAUCCAUAGGUUAAUGAGGCGAACCGGGGGAACUGAAACAUCUAAGUACCCCGAGGAAAAGAAAUCAACCGAGAUUCCCCCAGUAGCGGCGAGCGAACGGGGAGCAGCCCAGAGCCUGAAUCAGUGUGUGUGUUAGUGGAAGCGUCUGGAAAGGCGCGCGAUACAGGGUGACAGCCCCGUACACAAAAAUGCACAUGCUGUGAGCUCGAUGAGUAGGGCGGGACACGUGGUAUCCUGUCUGAAUAUGGGGGGACCAUCCUCCAAGGCUAAAUACUCCUGACUGACCGAUAGUGAACCAGUACCGUGAGGGAAAGGCGAAAAGAACCCCGGCGAGGGGAGUGAAAAAGAACCUGAAACCGUGUACGUACAAGCAGUGGGAGCACGCUUAGGCGUGUGACUGCGUACCUUUUGUAUAAUGGGUCAGCGACUUAUAUUCUGUAGCAAGGUUAACCGAAUAGGGGAGCCGAAGGGAAACCGAGUCUUAACUGGGCGUUAAGUUGCAGGGUAUAGACCCGAAACCCGGUGAUCUAGCCAUGGGCAGGUUGAAGGUUGGGUAACACUAACUGGAGGACCGAACCGACUAAUGUUGAAAAAUUAGCGGAUGACUUGUGGCUGGGGGUGAAAGGCCAAUCAAACCGGGAGAUAGCUGGUUCUCCCCGAAAGCUAUUUAGGUAGCGCCUCGUGAAUUCAUCUCCGGGGGUAGAGCACUGUUUCGGCAAGGGGGUCAUCCCGACUUACCAACCCGAUGCAAACUGCGAAUACCGGAGAAUGUUAUCACGGGAGACACACGGCGGGUGCUAACGUCCGUCGUGAAGAGGGAAACAACCCAGACCGCCAGCUAAGGUCCCAAAGUCAUGGUUAAGUGGGAAACGAUGUGGGAAGGCCCAGACAGCCAGGAUGUUGGCUUAGAAGCAGCCAUCAUUUAAAGAAAGCGUAAUAGCUCACUGGUCGAGUCGGCCUGCGCGGAAGAUGUAACGGGGCUAAACCAUGCACCGAAGCUGCGGCAGCGACGCUGAUGCGUUGUUGGGUAGGGGAGCGUUCUGUAAGCCUGCGAAGGUGUGCUGUGAGGCAUGCUGGAGGUAUCAGAAGUGCGAAUGCUGACAUAAGUAACGAUAAAGCGGGUGAAAAGCCCGCUCGCCGGAAGACCAAGGGUUCCUGUCCAACGUUAAUCGGGGCAGGGUGAGUCGACCCCUAAGGCGAGGCCGAAAGGCGUAGUCGAUGGGAAACAGGUUAAUAUUCCUGUACUUGGUGUUACUGCGAAGGGGGGACGGAGAAGGCUAUGUUGGCCGGGCGACGGUUGUCCCGGUUUAAGCGUGUAGGCUGGUUUUCCAGGCAAAUCCGGAAAAUCAAGGCUGAGGCGUGAUGACGAGGCACUACGGUGCUGAAGCAACAAAUGCCCUGCUUCCAGGAAAAGCCUCUAAGCAUCAGGUAACAUCAAAUCGUACCCCAAACCGACACAGGUGGUCAGGUAGAGAAUACCAAGGCGCUUGAGAGAACUCGGGUGAAGGAACUAGGCAAAAUGGUGCCGUAACUUCGGGAGAAGGCACGCUGAUAUGUAGGUGAGGUCCCUCGCGGAUGGAGCUGAAAUCAGUCGAAGAUACCAGCUGGCUGCAACUGUUUAUUAAAAACACAGCACUGUGCAAACACGAAAGUGGACGUAUACGGUGUGACGCCUGCCCGGUGCCGGAAGGUUAAUUGAUGGGGUUAGCGCAAGCGAAGCUCUUGAUCGAAGCCCCGGUAAACGGCGGCCGUAACUAUAACGGUCCUAAGGUAGCGAAAUUCCUUGUCGGGUAAGUUCCGACCUGCACGAAUGGCGUAAUGAUGGCCAGGCUGUCUCCACCCGAGACUCAGUGAAAUUGAACUCGCUGUGAAGAUGCAGUGUACCCGCGGCAAGACGGAAAGACCCCGUGAACCUUUACUAUAGCUUGACACUGAACAUUGAGCCUUGAUGUGUAGGAUAGGUGGGAGGCUUAGAAGUGUGGACGCCAGUCUGCAUGGAGCCGACCUUGAAAUACCACCCUUUAAUGUUUGAUGUUCUAACGUUGACCCGUAAUCCGGGUUGCGGACAGUGUCUGGUGGGUAGUUUGACUGGGGCGGUCUCCUCCUAAAGAGUAACGGAGGAGCACGAAGGUUGGCUAAUCCUGGUCGGACAUCAGGAGGUUAGUGCAAUGGCAUAAGCCAGCUUGACUGCGAGCGUGACGGCGCGAGCAGGUGCGAAAGCAGGUCAUAGUGAUCCGGUGGUUCUGAAUGGAAGGGCCAUCGCUCAACGGAUAAAAGGUACUCCGGGGAUAACAGGCUGAUACCGCCCAAGAGUUCAUAUCGACGGCGGUGUUUGGCACCUCGAUGUCGGCUCAUCACAUCCUGGGGCUGAAGUAGGUCCCAAGGGUAUGGCUGUUCGCCAUUUAAAGUGGUACGCGAGCUGGGUUUAGAACGUCGUGAGACAGUUCGGUCCCUAUCUGCCGUGGGCGCUGGAGAACUGAGGGGGGCUGCUCCUAGUACGAGAGGACCGGAGUGGACGCAUCACUGGUGUUCGGGUUGUCAUGCCAAUGGCACUGCCCGGUAGCUAAAUGCGGAAGAGAUAAGUGCUGAAAGCAUCUAAGCACGAAACUUGCCCCGAGAUGAGUUCUCCCUGACCCUUUAAGGGUCCUGAAGGAACGUUGAAGACGACGACGUUGAUAGGCCGGGUGUGUAAGCGCAGCGAUGCGUUGAGCUAACCGGUACUAAUGAACCGUGAGGCUUAACCUU